AUGGAUGUAUAUCGGAUAUACCAUGUAGCAAAGGUAUCCUUGGUUUUUCAUUUUUGCGUUUACGACAAAUCUUUAAUUGUUUCUGUUCCAUUUUUCAUAUAUUUUCUAAAAUUUGAAAUGAUUUUGAGCUCGUCAUUGUGUAGGGACACUUGUUAAUUGGUGAAGGUUGUAUAUUAACCUUUAUAUAUGUUGGUCAUUUGUAUAUUUGUGUCAAACUUUCGCGUGAACUCCCACAUCUCCUUCAGCAUAGUUUUUUUUAAACCAAAUUACGAGUAUCAACAUUGAAUAAACUCCGGUUGCCUCUUAUUGUAUGCAGUUGUACAUGCAUGCUUUGAAAACAUCCUUGACAAAUACUAGGACAAUUUUUUCAAUAGAUAUUUGUAACUAGGUUUACUACUGCAUAGAAACACAUAGUAGUUCAAAAAGUAUUACUGAACAAGAAUGUGUCCCCAGUACACAGAUGCCCCAUCCGCAAUAUCAUUUUCUUUGUUCAGUAGACUGUGCAAAUGGGGGGCACACCUCUAAUUUGGCAUUAAAAUUAGAACGAUCAUAUCAUAGGGAACAUGGGUACUAAGUUUUAAGUUGAUUGGACUUCAACUUCAUCAAAAACUACCUCGACUAAAAACUUUAACCUGAAGCGGGCGAAGACGGACGAACGAACGAACGAACUGACGCACAGGCCACAAAACAUAAUGCCCACAAAUAGGGUAUGGAAACAUGAUCAUAAUGUAGUGUGUUGGUGGUGUCUUUGAUAGGUGUUUUGUUUCAAUAUAUAUUUUAACUUCUUCGUACGUAUAGAAGGGAACAUCCGCCAAAAUUAAACAAUUCUUAAUUUGUGAAAUAAAAAUUUCUUAAUUCGUAACAUGCAAUUUCUUAAAUUGUAAAAUGCGAUUUCUUAAUUUGUAACAUGUAUUUUUUCCAUCCGUUACAUUAAUUUCUACAUUUCUUAAUGUGUAAACACAAGUUCUUAAUUUGUUAACGUAAUUUUCAUUAUUUGUUACAUGAAUUUUUACAUUUCUUAAUUUGUGAAAUGUAGUUACUUUGUUUAAACACGUUUUGUGAGAUGUGUCUGUGUAAUUGUUACCGCUGCUUACCAAUGAAAAAAUGUUCGUUUCUAAAUCAAAAUACAAAUUACAAAUCAACGUGUUACAAAUCAAAAAGUUUGACAAGUCUAGGAAUACAAAUAUAGAAUAAAAAAUCAAUUGUUCAGAGAACCAUUGAUGGUCUUUCCGCCAGUUAUGAUUUUUUUUAUAUGAAAAUAUUAAAGUAUGGUUUUAAAUGUCAAUUUCAGCGUCAAAUGACAACUUAUUGUAUGCUGAUUACAAAAAUAUAAUGUUUCUAUACAAAAAGAUAUAAAUAAGGGAGAUAAUUUUCUACUUCCGGUUCAAAAUAUGUUACUUCCGGUCCUGUCUUAUAGUUUACUUGACGCUGAUUCCAAAAAUAUAUUGUUUUACAUACUUAAACAAUAAUUUAGCUACUUCCGGUUUACAAAAGGUCACUUCCGGUUAGCUUUUUUAACGUCAUAUUGCUUGCAACCUAAUGCAAAAAAUCUAACAGCUUUAACAUGACUACAUAUGAGGUAAAAGCAAAGGUCAAAAUCUAGAACUUUUGAAUUAACAUAAGACCUUGAGCUCAAUUUCAAGGUCAUAAGCCAAGGACCUAAAAUCAAAAGACUCUAGGUCUUUACUUUAUAUUGUUAAUGAGUUAUAUUAACAUACGACUGAUAUUAUAUAUUAAAGGGGGGAAAACUCGCAUCAAAUGUGUAUGUACCCUUUCGACUAAAAUUUAUGUGUAACUACAUGUCGCGACUAACAAUUGUGUGAAAAUAUUUUGUCGAUAUCUUAUAAGAUUUCUGAAAAUGAGAGAUAACAAGCCAAAAUAAAAAUUUUGAACAUGACCUUGACCUUUGACCUUGACCUCAUUUUAAUUUUUUUGAACCAAGGACCUCAAAUCAAAAGACCCUAGGUCUCUAUCACUUAUGGUUUACCAGUCAGAAAUGCAUAUCCCUUUUAUCAUUUACAAAAGGGGGAUGACUCUCAUAUGGAGUCACCGGAUAGCUUUGAUUAAAAUUAAUCAAUUCAUCCUGAGGAUAUUCCGAGCAAUUUGGUAAACUAAAUUUGUCGGUUUCUUAUACGGUUGCGACAUAUAAGUAAUAACAAGAAAAACAGUGUUCGGGGAGAUAACUCUUAGUAUACAUGGAAAAGUUUUUGGUUACGCGGUGUCAGUUUUAAAAGCGUAUUAACUGUUCGAUAUAAUAUACCAUAUAUCUAAGCGACAUCUUGCGAAACAAAACAAAAAACAGCGAUUGAAAAAAAAUUAGGCGGAAAAAAAAUAAAUAAUAAUCAGCAGAAGAAAAGCAAUAGGUCUUUCCACGGAAAAGUGGAAAGAUCUUAUAAAAUAGUACACGAGGUCGUUGUGGAGCCAUGCCAACUCGUACCUUCGCACACUCGUACCUAAUAUUUACAAACUCGUACUUCUACCAACUCAUACCCAAUAUUUACGAUUUAUAUCUAGUAAAGUUGUUAUAUUCUUUUCCUUGAUAUCAAAACAUACACAUAAAAUUAAGUGCAACUGCAUUGAUUGGUAAUCUGAUUAAAUAAGUUUUCAAAUCAGACAUGUCUAAUUGAAAGUUUACCAUUUCAAAUGUCUUAAACAAUCAGCUCUAUAUUCCGGACACGGUAUAAGACGAAUCGAAAGUAAACAGAGCGUACUUAUUUUUCGUCAACAAAUUUACACACGACCCUAAAAGGGUCUUAUUCUAGUUAUACACCAAAAAUCACAUGACAGUGACAGGGCGUUUCUCGAACGAAUGCUCCACCAACUUAAUUCUUGCAGAUAGCGAAUAUUUAAAAACGAACGACAGGCAAGAUAAUGUAGCCGUGAUAGCCAGUGUGAAAGGAGGUUCAAGGAUGAUGAUAGAUUGCAUGAUUGAAGGAUCCGCUAUUACAUGGAAAGUUAAUACCGGAUCAAGGAGAACAUUUAUCACAGAACAGAGCUACUAUAGUAUAAUGCCGGAGUGUAGAACUGUGCUGAGCCGAGUAGAUAACAAUUUGAAACUGCAGAUGGAAGUACACUGAAUAUUUUAGGCAUGGCUGUAAUGAACAUUAGUUUUGGUGAAUUUUGUGCUGCAUUUCCAAUUUAUGUUGGAGGUGUUAAAAUUAAUUUAUAUAUAGGUGAAGAUUUUAUUUCUAAAUAUCGAUGUCAAUGGAAUUUCGACUCGGGAUCAUUAGAUAUUUACGGAUUUACAGCUCCGCUUGAGCAAGAUAGUGUCAAUGUGCGAUCUAGUCGUGUUAUAGCAAUGGAAACCAUAGACAUUCCUGCGAGACAUGAAAUAAUUGUAAAAGCUAAGCUCACUAGAGAAGUGUAUGCUGAAAAUAAUUCAGAAGUGUUUGGAAUUUUGUGCCCUGAUAGUAAUUUCAUGAGGAAGUAUGGAUUAGCUAUUGGAAGAGUUUUAGUGAAUGCAUCACGUUCGCAUAUUUAUUCGAGGAUCCUAAACCCUUGUGAUACCGAUAUUAUUCUUUACAAAGGCACUCAUAUUGGAUUGUUCGUUCCAGCUCAGAAAAUUGUGAGUGACAUUGGAUCGAUGGAGGAAGAGACCGUUUGUAAUGUUCGGGAAAUGGACACGGAUCCACAAGAAAUUCCACAGUAUAUGGCGGAAAUGUAUAGUAAUGGAAGAGAAAACCUCACAGAGAGUGAAGGCGAGAGCUUUAAGGAAAUCCUGCUGAAGUACAGAGAUAUUUUCUAUGAUCCAGCAGGAGAACCAGGAAAGACAACAAUUGGUAUGCAUAGUAUCAAAUUGAAAGAAGAAAUUCCAGUAAAGGAACCCCCAAGACGAGUACCUCUUUAUAAACGUCAGGCAAUUGAAGAUGAAAUCAAGAAAUUGGAGGAUAAGAAAGUUAUUGAAAAGUCUAAUAGCCCGUGGUCUUCAGGCCUAGUUUUAGUGCAAAAGAAAGAUCUUUCAUGGCGGCUGUGUGUUGAUUACAGGAAAUUGAACGAUAAGACGAUAAAAGAUGCCUAUCCGAUCCCUAGAAUAGAGGAUAAUAUAGACGCACUCAGUGGAGCAAAGUGGAUGUCAGUUUUGGACCUGAGUAUGGCUUAUCAUCAGGUGCCGAUGAAUCCAGCAGAUAAGGAAAAGACUGCAUUUUCGACACCCAGAGGUGGGUUAUACCAAUAUGUUACGAUGCCAUUUGGAUUGUGCAACGCAGGAGCUACGUUUCAAAGGAUUAUUGAGACAGCAAUGCGAGGAUUGCAGUGGCAUGUUCUAGUUUUGUACCUAGAUGAUAUUAUAGUGUUUAGUGAAACAUUUGAUGAACAUUUGGUUAAUUUGCAGAAAGUCUUUCAGAGGUUAUCAGAUGCUGGAUUAAAGCUCAAGGCUGCAAAGUGUAGUUUUUUUUAAACACGAGGUAGAGUAUCUCGGACAUAUUGUGUCAACCGAGGGGGUGCGGACGGAUCCUUCUAAAGUACGGGCAAUAGUCAAGAUGGAGUCUCCGCAAAACGUUUCCGAAUUAAGAUCUUUCAUUGGACUAGUUUCUUAUUACAGAAGAUUUAUCAAGGAUUUUUCGAAAAUUGCUAAGUGUCUUUUUGACUUAUUGCAGUUAAAAGCUCACUGGGAGUGGAACAAGUUGUUGUGAACAGACUUUCCGGUUACUUAAAGAAAAGCUUUCAAGCUCACCUGUACUUGCAUAUCCAGAAAUCGACGGAGAAGAGUUUAUAUUAGAUACAGAUGCGAGUCAUUUUGGAAUUGGAGCAGUUCUGUCUCAAGUUCAAGAAGGAAAAGAAAGAGUGAUAGGAUACGCAAGCAGAACAUUAAACAAACCUGAACGGAAUUAUUGCGUAACACGAAAAGAACUAUUGGCAGUAGUUUACUUCAUUAAAUAUUUAGGAGGGAGAUUUAUUGGCACGUAGUUUACUUCAUUAAAUAUUUUAGACAUUAUCUUACUUAUUGGUCGUCACUGUCAAAUUAAGAACGACCAACGGUCCACUUCACCAGAACCGGUCAAAUAAAGAGAAGGAUACAAGCAACCAAGUAGGCUUAUGACUUUAAAAUUGGUUCACAGACGCAGGUUUGAAACACCAAAUGAGAUCUAGAUGCAUUAUCUAGAAUAAUUGCUAACUGAUACUGAAUUCUGGUAAACAUAUGCAUGCUACCAUGGAAUUAUGUGAAUAACAAGUGGCAAGUGACAAAAGUGAUAGCGCUAAUAUCAUAGACCUAAUAAUGGUGAAACUCAAACUCACAAAUAAUCAAGUUUGUAUUGACGAGCAGCGAAAAUAGACUUGGAUUCAGAAGAUCUUCCGAAAAGAAGAGGACCGAAACGUUAAUGCUCCGAAGUAGAGCAAAAGGGCUGGCAGAAACCAGUUUAUUGAUUUGAUCAACGGAAUAUAUACGGGGAAUUGCAGUGAAUGACCCGGUAUAGUUCGAGUUUUUUAAACUGUAAAGAGGAAAAAAGAGACAAAACCAAACAAGUGAUUCUGUUGUGGCAUUUCAGUCAGACAAACGAAAUUUUUGGACAUAAGUCGAUCGGAUUACUGGGGAAUCAAGAAUGGUAGUUAUUGCGAAUACUGGGAAGGAUCGGUCCCGCCUUUCAACGGGCUGUUGUGCUCGCCGUGGGAAAUUUCAAAAGUUGAUUUUAUGGCAGAUCUCCGAUUCAGCAACUCUCAAGGAACAAUCAAGGCCAUCAAUGGACUGCAAGAGCCAAAAUUGUGUCCAUUUUACUGGAAAGGAAAUGAGGCAAAGUGUUCAUUAUGUAAAAAGCUGCGAAUAUGGAAGAAAAAAAGGACCAAAGUAUAUCAAAGAGACAAGGUUUAAAUCUUGAUUUACGGAGGGCGUUUGAAAGAAUUGGAACAGAUAUAGCUGGACCCAUUUCCCAUUUGCUAACAAAAUGGAUAUUGUUACAAAUUGUAGUAAGUUGAUGAUUAUUUCACUAAUUCAAAGAAUGUUUCCAAUACCUAAUAUGGAAGCNNNNNNNNNNNNNNNNNNNNNNNNNAAAACGGUCGCCGAGGUGAUGCUUAAAGCUGAAUAAAAGAUAUGGAUGUCCACUAGAAUUGCAUAGUGACCAAGGUAGACAGUACGAAAGUCAGUUAUUUCAACUAUAUGCAAAUUCUUAGAAAUAGAUAAGACAAGAACGACACUAGGUCACCCUAGAUCAGAUGGAUUAGUAGAGCGUUCGAACAGAACGUAUAAAGACAUGAUAUCAAAAUAUGUGCGCACCGAUCAGAGAGACUGGGACCGAUGGAUUGACUUCAUGGCAAUGGCAUAUAAUUCUACUCCUCAUCAAAGCACUGAAAUUUCGCCGUUUUGGAUGAUUUUCGGGGAAGAAAUGAGAAUGCCAUUAGACGUAGUUUUAGCGGAGGAAUUAUGCGAGAAUGAUAGUGAAUUAGUUAGCAAACACGAUCAUGUUAUGAAACUUCAAGAUAAAUAA
rnacentral:sRNA from 1 species